AGUGAACGCUGGCGGCAUGCCUAACACAUGCAAGUCGAACGGCAGCACGGGCAGCGCUCUCUCUUCGGGUUGGCGACGGGCGGGUGAGUCAGCAGUACAUCGCCAUCCAUUGUGUCUUGGGCGACUACGGCCGGAUUAAUACCGUAAUAGACCAUAUGUUGAACGGGUGGGACCAAAAGUCCUCGCGCUAUUGCAUCGUUCUAUGUCGGAUUAGCUAGUUGGUUGGGUAAAGGCGUACCAAGGCGACGAUCCGUAGCUGGUCUGAGAGGACGACCAGCCACACUGGAACUGAGACACGGCCCAGACUCCUACGGGAGGCAGCAGUGGGGAAUAUUGGACAAUGGGCGCAAGCCUGAUCCAGCCAUGCCGCGUGCGUGAAGAAGGCCUUCGGGUUGUAAACCGCUUUUGUUAGGGAAGAAAAACUGUGGGCUAAUACCCCGGGGUGAUGACGGUACCGAAAGAAUAAGCACCGGCUAACUACGUG
rnacentral:rRNA from 1 species